rnacentral:rRNA from 1 species
GGGUUGUGAGGUUAAGCGACUAAGCGUACACGGUGGAUGCCCUGGCAGUCAGAGGCGAUGAAGGGCGUGCUAAUCUGCGAUAAGCGCCGGUAAGGUGAUAUGAACCGUUAUAACCGGCGAUACCCGAAUGGGGAAACCCAGUGUGAUUCGUCACACUAUCAUUAACUGAAUCCAUAGGUUAAUGAGGCGAACCGGGGGAACUGAAACAUCUAAGUACCCCGAGGAAAAGAAAUCAACCGAGAUUCCCCCAGUAGCGGCGAGCGAACGGGGAGGAGCCCAGAGCCUGAAUCAGCAUGUGUGUUAGUGGAAGCGUCUGGAAAGGCGCGCGAUACAGGGUGACAGCCCCGUACACAAAAGCGCAUGUGUUGUGAGCUCGAUGAGUAGGGCGGGACACGUGGUAUCCUGUCUGAAUAUGGGGGGACCAUCCUCCAAGGCUAAAUACUCCUGACUGACCGAUAGUGAACCAGUACCGUGAGGGAAAGGCGAAAAGAACCCCGGCGAGGGGAGUGAAAAAGAACCUGAAACCGUGUACGUACAAGCAGUGGGAGCACCCUUUGGGGUGUGACUGCGUACCUUUUGUAUAAUGGGUCAGCGACUUAUAUUCUGUAGCAAGGUUAACCGAAUAGGGGAGCCGGAGGGAAACCGAGUCUUAAUUGGGCGUUAAGUUGCAGGGUAUAGACCCGAAACCCGGUGAUCUAGCCAUGGGCAGGUUGAAGGUUGGGUAACACUAACUGGAGGACCGAACCGACUAAUGUUGAAAAAUUAGCGGAUGACCUGUGGCUGGGGGUGAAAGGCCAAUCAAACCGGGAGAUAGCUGGUUCUCCCCGAAAGCUAUUUAGGUAGCGCCUCGUGAAUUCAUCUCCGGGGGUAGAGCACUGUUUCGGCUAGGGGGCCAUCCCGGCUUACCAACCCGAUGCAAACUGCGAAUACCGGAGAAUGUUAUCACGGGAGACACACGGCGGGUGCUAACGUCCGUCGUGAAGAGGGAAACAACCCAGACCGCCAGCUAAGGUCCCAAAGUCAUAGUUAAGUGGGAAACGAUGUGGGAAGGCCCAGACAGCCAGGAUGUUGGCUUAGAAGCAGCCAUCAUUUAAAGAAAGCGUAAUAGCUCACUGGUCGAGUCGGCCUGCGCGGAAGAUGUAACGGGGCUAAACUAUGCACCGAAGCUGCGGCAGCGACACUAUGUGUUGUUGGGUAGGGGAGCGUUCUGUAAGCCUGUGAAGGUGUGUCGUGAGGCAUGCUGGAGGUAUCAGAAGUGCGAAUGCUGACAUAAGUAACGAUAAAGCGGGUGAAAAGCCCGCUCGCCGGAAGACCAAGGGUUCCUGUCCAACGUUAAUCGGGGCAGGGUGAGUCGACCCCUAAGGCGAGGCCGAAAGGCGUAGUCGAUGGGAAACGGGUUAAUAUUCCCGUACUUGGUGUUACUGCGAAGGGGGGACGGAGAAGGCUAUGUUGGCCGGGCGACGGUUGUCCCGGUUUAAGCGUGUAGGUGUGUGUUCCAGGUAAAUCCGGUUCACUUUAACACUGAGGCGUGAUGACGAGGCACUACGGUGCUGAAGCAACAAAUGCCCUGCUUCCAGGAAAAGCCUCUAAGCAUCAGGUAACAUCAAAUCGUACCCCAAACCGACACAGGUGGUCAGGUAGAGAAUACCAAGGCGCUUGAGAGAACUCGGGUGAAGGAACUAGGCAAAAUGGUGCCGUAACUUCGGGAGAAGGCACGCUGACACGUAGGUGAAGUGAUUUACUCAUGGAGCUGAAGUCAGUCGAAGAUACCAGCUGGCUGCAACUGUUUAUUAAAAACACAGCACUGUGCAAACACGAAAGUGGACGUAUACGGUGUGACGCCUGCCCGGUGCCGGAAGGUUAAUUGAUGGGGUCAGCGCAAGCGAAGCUCCUGAUCGAAGCCCCGGUAAACGGCGGCCGUAACUAUAACGGUCCUAAGGUAGCGAAAUUCCUUGUCGGGUAAGUUCCGACCUGCACGAAUGGCGUAAUGAUGGCCAGGCUGUCUCCACCCGAGACUCAGUGAAAUUGAACUCGCUGUGAAGAUGCAGUGUACCCGCGGCAAGACGGAAAGACCCCGUGAACCUUUACUAUAGCUUGACACUGAACAUUGAGCCUUGAUGUGUAGGAUAGGUGGGAGGCUUUGAAGUGUGGACGCCAGUCUGCAUGGAGCCGACCUUGAAAUACCACCCUUUAAUGUUUGAUGUUCUAACGUGGACCCGUGAUCCGGGUUGCGGACAGUGUCUGGUGGGUAGUUUGACUGGGGCGGUCUCCUCCUAAAGAGUAACGGAGGAGCACGAAGGUUGGCUAAUCCUGGUCGGACAUCAGGAGGUUAGUGCAAUGGCAUAAGCCAGCUUGACUGCGAGCGUGACGGCGCGAGCAGGUGCGAAAGCAGGUCAUAGUGAUCCGGUGGUUCUGAAUGGAAGGGCCAUCGCUCAACGGAUAAAAGGUACUCCGGGGAUAACAGGCUGAUACCGCCCAAGAGUUCAUAUCGACGGCGGUGUUUGGCACCUCGAUGUCGGCUCAUCACAUCCUGGGGCUGAAGUAGGUCCCAAGGGUAUGGCUGUUCGCCAUUUAAAGUGGUACGCGAGCUGGGUUUAGAACGUCGUGAGACAGUUCGGUCCCUAUCUGCCGUGGGCGCUGGAGAACUGAGGGGGGCUGCUCCUAGUACGAGAGGACCGGAGUGGACGCAUCACUGGUGUUCGGGUUGUCAUGCCAAUGGCACUGCCCGGUAGCUAAAUGCGGAAGAGAUAAGUGCUGAAAGCAUCUAAGCACGAAACUUGCCCCGAG